rnacentral:rRNA from 1 species
GACGAACGCUGGCGGCGUGCUUAACACAUGCAAGUCGAACGGAAAGGCCAUGCUUUUGUGGGGUGCUCGAGUGGCGAACGGGUGAGUAACACGUGAGUAACCUGCCCUUGCCUUUGGGAUAACUUCAGGAAACUGGGGCUAAUACCGGCUAGGAGCUCAUGCUGCAUGGUGGGGGUUGGAAAGUUUCGGCGGGUGGGGAUGGACUCGCGGCUUGUCAGCUUGUAGGUGGGGUAGUGGCUAACCAAGGCUUUGACGGGUAGCCGGCCUGGGAGGGUGACCGGCCACAUUGGGACUGGGGUACGGCCCAGACGCCUACGGGGGGCAGCAGUGGGAAAUAUUGCACAAUGGGCGGAAGCCGGAUGCAGCAACGCCGCGUGCGGGAUGACGGCCGUCGGGUUGUAAACCGCUUGCGCCUGUGACGAAGCGUGAGUGACGGUAAUGGGUAAGGAAGCACCGGCUAACUACGUG